UUUGCUUUUCUACCUGAAUAUCUUCAAUUUAACUUAACUGAAACUGCAUCUUGCCAUGACUGUGGUGAGAUGGUUAUUAUAUUUCUGAGAGGGCAAAAAGACUUAUGGCAAAUGAUUUCUCUCCAUGCUGGAAAAGGGUGUAUGGAGGGUACGAAUGAUAACAAAACCACAGGUCUUCAUCCCGCUUUCCUCACCUGUUGGAGGGCUGAUGAUACAACCUUCUCCCCAUGCUUUGCUCCAUCACCAAUCAUUAAGUGUUGAAUACUGAUGAUGAAAGUGUGCUCUGGUGUAAUACUGCUACCCAGCCAUCUCAUUUUGCAAUGAUAUAAGAAUACCGUGUCCCAAGUAGAGAGUAAAGAUUUAAAGUUUCCAUUAUUUCAGGACUUGAAAAUGCUUUAUUCCUGACACUUAUUUAAAAUAUAUCUACUACCUGUAUUAACUUUAGUAAUUCUCAUCAAGCAUCUAAUAACAUUUCAUACAUAUCUUUAA